AUUGAACGCUGGCGGCAGGCCUAACACAUGCAAGUCGAACGAGUGGCGGACGGGUGAGUAAUUUCUGGGAAACUGCCUGAUGGAGGGGGAUAACUACUUGAAACGGUAGCUAAUACCGCAUACCAUCAGAUGUGCCCAGCUGGGAUUAGCUAGUUGGUGGGGGAACGGCUCACCAAGGCGAAGAUCACUAGCUGGUCUGAGAGGAUGACCAGCCACACUGGAAAUGAGACACGGUCGAGACUCUUAAGGGAGGCAGCAGUGGGGAAUAUUGCACAAUGGGCGCAAGCCUGAUGCAGCCAUGCCGCGUGGAUGAAGAAGGCCGUCGGGUUGUAAAGUACUUUCAGCGGGGAGGCGUUACCCGCAGAAGAAGCACCGGCUAACGCCGUGCCAGCAGCCGCGGUAAUUC
rnacentral:rRNA from 1 species